AGCUUGUUGGUGAGGUAAUGGCUCACCAAGGCGACGACGGGUAGCCGGCCUGAGAGGGCGACCGGCCACACUGGGACUGAGACACGGCCCAGACUCCUACGGGAGGCAGCAGUGGGGAAUAUUGCACAAUGGGCGAAAGCCUGAUGCAGCGACGCCGCGUGAGGGAUGACGGCCUUCGGGUUGUAAACCUCUUUCAGCAGGGAAGAAGCGAGAGUGACGGUACCUGCAGAAGAAGCGCCGGCUAACUACGUGCCAGCAGCCGCGGUAAUACGUAGGGCGCAAGCGUUGUCCGGAAUUAUUGGGCGUAAAGAGCUCGUAGGCGGCUUGUCACGUCGAUUGUGAAAGCCCGAGGCUUAACCUCGGGUCUGCAGUCGAUACGGGCUAGCUAGAGUGUGGUAGGGGAGAUCGGAAUUCCUGGUGUAGCGGUGAAAUGCGCAGAUAUCAGGAGGAACACCGGUGGCGAAGGCGGAUCUCUGGGCCAUUACUGACGCUGAGGAGCGAAAGCGUGGGGAGCGAACAGGAUUAGAUACCCUGGUAGUCCACGCCGUAAACGGUGGGAACUAGGUGUUGGCGACAUUCCACGUCGUCGGUGCCGCAGCUAACGCAUUAAGUUCCCCGCCU
rnacentral:rRNA from 1 species